CGUAAUUUAACAGUAAUAAUUCCUGUGCUUUUUUACGGAAGAAUUCAAUUAUCUUAUAAUUACGGAGCUUUUUCAGUAAAUUCAAACUGUGCGCGUGCGUAGUGUGUGAAAGCGACCAACGGUCGCUCUCUCCUCAACACACAAUUUCAUCUUCUCACCCUCUUUAUUGCAGUGGCACCUCUGUGGUAAAUAUCAUCCAUUUUUGUUCGCGUAGGUAAACUUGUAACUAAAAGACUACCAGCUAGUAUCACAAAGAUAAAUAAUCCCAUUUAGCGAAUUUAAUAUAGACAACGAAUUAACGUUAACCUACGAUGGCUGUGGGUUAGCGUUAGCUGUAGUCUAAAGCUUGCCACAGAUUUUCUGGACAGGCUAACUUUAGUGUUAGCGUUAGUGCUACUGUCGCUUCUUUGGUAGCUAAAUAUCGACGUAGUUUUGACACCGAUAAUCUUUGCUGCAAUGAAAGACUGAAAACAUGUGCAUUUUUACAUUCGAGGAGAAAAAACGUUCCCCAGAAUGGGCAGACUAAAAGCUAACAAGCUAGCUAACCCUAGAUACAGCUCAUCCAGCAGUAUCAGCUAGCGUUAGCUAAGUUACCUCAGGUCAGAGAACACCAACGGGACAAAUAGGAACAAAGACUGGCAGUCUGAUGUUUUCAUUUGUCCUUAAAUAUUCAAAAAAGACCUGACAAGCAAAAUAAACUGUGGUGAACGGGGAGAGAACACUCUAGAAUCUUUAAACUACCAAGCAUGGACAUGGCACACAAGCUGAACAUUUGUGUUUGCUGGUGUUUGUCCUGUCUGUGUACUCUGCACUGUACUCAAAUGGCCUGCUUGUUGUGUUGCGUUAUAAUGUGGGAGAGUUAAGGUUAGGGCAUAUACUCUCCAUUGUCAUUACAGAGGACAAGACAAUGUUUUUUAUGCUGAGAGAAAAAGUAGCUGAACUUAUUCCUAGCCUUGAAAUCUAUGAAAUUAAGGACAGUAUGAAUAAUAUUACAGGUCCAAAGCUAGAUGGUCUUGCAGAGUAUGUCCCUCACAAAUGUUUCCAUAGAGGUGCCAAAAUCUUUUUUCCACUUAAGCAUCGUUAUGUCGCUAUGGAUGCCAUCCAAGGUUUAAUCAGUGGAGCUCUGCCAUUGCUUGUGGGGAACCUCCUUGAUAAAGUGAUUGAAAGACUACAAGAAAUUGGUGUUUCCCAAAUCGAUGACCUAAAUUUGGUACAAUCGAAGAUCUUGAAGGUGUCCUGAAGCCAAUACAGUGUCGCAGGCUGAUUAAAGCAUUCUCUGCCGUGCAGUUUUGAGAUUGUGAAACCAAGUAAACCUUGCAGAAGAGCGCUCUAAAAAGGCCAAGUGGUGAAAGACUUCAUUCGAACAAGAGAAGCAAGUGCUGGUGAAAAGAUGAACCAAGGACCUUUGGAAAUGCUAAGAUGCCUCACAAGUUACUUCAAGGAAGCAACUGUCCUGUUGGUUGCAGACAAGGAUGGCCAGAAAGAACUACCCAGCACUCCUUGCAUCAUUGUCAUUGGGUCUCCUGGGGAUCAACACUGAACGUGGCUCAAAAGCUGAAUCGAAGUGCAAGAAGCACUUCAAAAUCAAUCCUAAGCUUCUGAAAUUCCUGAAGGACCUCAGUGACUUUCAGAAUCCAUUCAAAAUUUAAAUGGACAAGGCAUUUGGAGCCCUCAGAUGCUGCACAAUGGACUCAUUUAACAAUUUGAAAUGAAGUGUUAGGAUGAGAAGUCCUAAGUUCUGUGGUGUUUACAACAUUUUUUUAAUGUUGAAUUGUUAAUGGAAAAAAAUACAUGUUUGUUUUGGACACAACACUUUAAAUAUGCAGGAGGUAGAGUUUUUAUAUGUAGGGCUUAUAAUAUAUGCUGUUUUGAAUAACAGUCGUUGACCAGCAUUGUUCUCAUGCCAAAUUUGUUUCAGUAAAUUUAUUGCAUGAGAUAUAAGCACCCAGUAAGCUAUAUUAGCAGUAUAUAAAAAAGUGUUAAUACUAUACUUGCUCCUACACAUUUUUUAAAUUUAAGUGUUUUUUUUUGCUUUUCAUAAAGGAGCUACAAGUUACCAGAUCAGUAGACAUGCCUACUAUGUCCCUGUGCCCAUCGACCCAUCUAUCAGGCAAAUGUGCUGUAUAUAGGUACACUUUGUAGAUUUACAGUUACAUACUACAGGGAGAAAAAUACACUCUCCAAGUUAUGUCAUUCCUGCGGUUUCUUUCCAGUGGUGAAUGGGUUGGGUGAUAUGGUGUUCUUUUGUGUACUGAUGAUAUCCACCAUAUGCUGAAGAGCAUAUUGUUACAUUGACAAUUUAUGACAGGUAACUGGACUGUCAAAUGAACUGCAGUCAGUAACUGUAAGCAUGCAAAGUGCAACUAAAUGGGAAGUAUUUCCAAUUAGAUGCUCAAUGACUGUUGUUGAAUAAAUUGGCAAGGAAGAUGUUGAUGUUAACUUUAUCUGUAUUGAACUGAAAUCAGUGUUGGAAGGCUUGUACUGACACAAUGCAGUGUUUAGAUCUUAUUUCAAUAUUUGCCUGUUUGCAUCCCUGUAAUAAACAGCAACAAUGAAUUUA